UUACGUCGUACAUUCGACGUCAAAUUACGAAGAAUUAACGAGCAUUACGUUUAAAUCCCUAAAAUCCGAAACCCCAAACCCCAAAACCCCAUAUUCCUUAUCUUCUACUUCAUAUAUUCCAAACCCCAUCUUUAUUUUCAUUCCAAACCACAAUUCCCACAUUUACUUAUUUAUAAAACAAACUCCCACAAUUUCUUAUUCAUAAAACAAACUCCCACAUUACCUUAUUCAUAAAACAAACUCUCACAUUACCUUAUUCAUAAAACAAACAACACAAAAUCAAAUACAUCAAUCGGAUACAUCGACAUUCUCGUCAUCA
rnacentral:lncRNA from 1 species